rnacentral:rRNA from 1 species
GUUACACGACCGUACCGCAAACCGACACUGGUGCGCGAGAUGAGUAUUCUAAGGCGCUUGAGAGAACUCAGGAGAAGGAACUCGGCAAAUUGACACCGUAACUUCGGAAGAAGGUGUGCCUUUAGUAGGUGAACCAUUUACUUGGGGAGCCCAAUGAGGCUGCAAAAAAUCGGUGGCUGCAACUGUUUAUUAAAAACACAGCACUCUGCUAAGACGAAAGUCGACGUAUAGGGUGUGACGCCUGCCCGGUGCUGGAAGAUUAAAUGAUGGGGUACAAGCUCUUGAUUGAAGUCCCAGUAAACGGCGGCCGUAACAAUAACGGUCCUAAGGUAGCGAAAUUCCUUGUCGGGUAAGUUCCGACCUGCACGAAUGGCGUAAUGAUGGCCACACUGUCUCCCCCUGAGACUCAGCGAAGUUGAAAUGUUUGUGAUGAUGCAAUCUCCCCGCGGAAAGACGGAAAGACCCCAUGAACCUUUACUGUAGCUUUGUAUUGGACUUUGAACAGAUCUGUGUAGGAUAGGUGGGAGGCUUUGAAGUGUGGUCGCUAGAUCGCAUGGAGCCAACGUUGAAAUACCACCCUGGUGUGUUUGAGGUUCUAACCUAGGUCCAUUAUCUGGAUCGGGGACAGUGCAUGGUAGGCAGUUUGACUGGGGCGGUCUCCUCCCAAAGUGUAACGGAGGAGUUCGAAGGUACGCUAGGUACGGUCGGACAUCGUGCUAAUAGUGCAAUGGCAUAAGCGUGCUUAACUGCGAGACUGACAAGUCGAGCAGAUGCGAAAGCAGGACAUAGUGAUCCGGUGGUUCUGUAUGGAAGGGCCAUCGCUCAACGGAUAAAAGGUACUCUGGAUAACAGGCUGAUACCGCCCAAGAGUUCAUAUCGACGGCGGUGUUUGGCACCUCGAUGUCGGCUCAUCUCAUCCUGGGGCUGUAGCCGGUCCCAAGGGUAUGGCUGUUCGCCAUUUAAAGAGGUACGUGAGCUGGGUUUAAAACGUCGUGAGACAGUUUGGUCCCUAUCUUCCGUGGGCGCUGCAGAUUUGAGGAAGCCUGCUCCUAGUACGAGAGGACCGGAGUGGACGAACCUCUGGUGUAUCGGUUGUCACGCCAGUGGCAUUGCCGAGUAGCUAAGUUCGGAAGAGAUAACCGCUGAAAGCAUCUAAGCGGGAAACUCGUUUCAAGAUUAGAUCUGCCGGGGCCUUGAGCCCCCUAAAGAGUCGUUCAAGACCAGGACGUUGAUAGGUCAGGUGUGGAAGCGG